AAAUGAGUAAAUUAUGCCAGAAGAUAUGUUUGUUGUCACUGUAAUUCCUCUAUAAUGUAGUCUAUGUAGGCUUCUUCCAUUCUUCAUCCAAAGACAAACUUCAUGGAGAUCCCCUUCUUUCCAGCUUAUGUUGACUGUCAACCCCCCACGCGCCCUUAAUCCUUUUACAGAUCCAUUCAUCCAUUUAUCUCGGGGUAGUGCAGGAAGCAGGUGCAAAUCAUUCAAGGUACUCUGGAUGAGCAUUUCUACAACUGCUGCUGUAAAACCAAAGUUGGCAUCAAUCUGAAACGGAGGAUGCGCUGCAAACAAGUUGCUGUAUAGUCCACCUUCAAAAGCUAUCUCAAGGUCUGGGUCCACCAGCUUAAUCAAAUGCUUAACCAUCCUGUAUGCAUGCUCACUGUUGUGUAG
rnacentral:misc_RNA from 1 species